GACACCAUCGGCGCCGUCGAGCUCGCGAACGUGGAGGAGGCACAGCGCCGCUGGUUUCGUCAGGUUUCCACCGUCGAACCCGUCCCUACCACCGCUGCUGACCACACGCACAGAGAGAGAGGGUGCGCAAAAAAGGAGCUGCCGCGGGGUUGCUGUCGCCGCCGCGAGGCUAGGCUCGCCGCUGUGGAGGGUCGCCGCCUUCCUCCACCAUCGCCGAAGAUCCAUCACCGGAGCUGCUGGGCUCGCCGUAUGCUACUGUUGUGUCACCGAAACUGUCUUGGGGUUUCGCCACUCAUUCAGAUUCUGCUCUGUUUUGGGUUAGUGCUGUUGCAAUUGUUUUGGCCACCGGAAAACCUCGAUGCCGUCACCUCUGCUGCUAGAAACAGCCGCUGAGUCUUCUAUGAUGGAGUUUACCGCGAGUUGCCAUCGUUUUGGUCACCGGCUGUGAAGUUGGUGUUGCCGGAAUCCACCACUGGUGCAGCCGCUACUUGGUUCCCUCGAGUUUGAGUUGUUGAGACUGUUGCGAAAGUGGCUUGGAACCGAGGUUUUGGUUGCCGGGAUUUCGAUUGUUGAUUUCGGGUUGAGGCGGAAAAGACUCUGUGACGCGUUUAGGCCAUGGUU